rnacentral:lncRNA from 1 species
GUAGCGGGGUGCUUGGUGCAUUACAUAUACUACAGACUAUAUAUAUACUACAAUAUUACAGACUGAUGGGCAACAUCCCUAUCAAACCAGAAGACCCUACUCCAGUGAUCCACUUCGGCUGGCUCAAAAUGUCAAAACAGGCAACUUCACUCUUCAUUUUGAAGAAAAAUGGAGGAGCCUGAAGGAUAUUAUUACCAGAAUGCUGAAUAGCUCAUUUGAAAAACGUCCAACCAUUGGGGAAUGCCUUCAGGUUUUCACAUGUAAGUGCCAAGACUAACACUCUCUUCACCUUAAAUAUUCUAUAUUCUUUAUUUGAGGUUCCUUCCAUGCCAGCUCACUGAGAAUUCAGAACCCCUCCUUGUUCAUGUCAUGAAGGGGUGGGGGGUGUGACAGGUUUUGUGGUGGCUGCCAGCAGAGGGUUGAGGGUUAGUGACGAGGGAUAUGGUGUCUACUGCGGGGGUUGGUGUGGGACUGUGGGAGCUGUGUGGGUUUUGUCCUGGAGGUGUCGCUCAGAGGAGCAGCAGGGGGGCUGGGGGAGGUGCUCCUCCUCCUCUCCUCUGGAAGCCAUUUAUCUCUCUCAUCCCACUCCACAUGUCCCUGGUAUUGUUGUUCUCCAGUUUGUAUUCAAACUAUGUAAUAAAUAUAAAUAAAUAUAUAUAGAAUACACAUACAAGAAUCACAAAAAUGCUCAAAUUUAGCGGAGUGGGCCAAACCUAAAAAAAUCAUUACUUAAAAAUUAUUUGGAUUGCAGCUAUAGUAUUUUAAGAGGUCCACUGAAUUUAAGAUACAUUUUAACAUGUGUUUUUCAAGAACUUUCAUGACGUGAACUGGGAUGGCCAAGGUGAGCUGGUAUGGCAUGACCCAUGUGUGUGUAUGAUUCUGUUCAUAAGAAAAAUGUUAUCCUUAGAACACUCCAGUGGAAACAAUGAAUCCUAUUUUAAUGUAUUUACAGGUUUCACACAACAGUCCGGUUACAGGGGAACCACAACCAACACCGGCAGCGUGAAUAUAAAUGAAGUGAGUACAUACAUGACCACUGAGAAGUUUACCCUGUCCCUGGAAAUGUCAGAUAAAGAGGAACAGGAACAACAAGCAGAAGCAGAAAAGUCUUCUGACACUGAAGAGGAAUUAUCUGUGCGUGAAAUAAUCACAGAGCAGCGGUUGGAAAUGACGAAUAAAGAGCAGGAACGACAAGCAGAAGCAGACACUUCUUCCACCCCAACAGAUGAAUUACUUGUGUGUGAAAUGGACACGGAGCAACAACUUCCCCUUUCCCAUGAAAUGUCAGAUGACGAUAAACAACAAGCUGAAGAGGAAACAGCAGAAAAGGAAAUAAUUCGAGGACCACCUUCAAAAACCCCAAUGCCGAUGGAUCAAAAUACCCAUGACCUUCAACAAAAUAGUAUCCAAGUGAAAACUUCGUCAAACAGUCAACAUCAGCAGAUCUAUGACAAGAAAAAUGUCUGCCUGUACUGUCAGCGGCCAUAUGCAAAAAUUACAAGACAUCUAAAACAGAAGCAUCAGGAUAAACCUGAAGUGGCAAAGGCACUUGCACACAGGCAAGGUUCAGCCAUGCGCAAUCUUCUUUUGAGCAAAAUGAGGAACCUUGGAAACUACAACCACAACUAUUCAGUCAUGGAAUCUGGGAAAGGACAAAUUGUACCUAAAAGGCAAGCAACCUGUAAAUCAACAGCAACAGACUACCUGCCUUGCAAGUUUUGCUUUGCUAUGUACCUCAAAACAGACCUCUGGAGACACCUAAAGCGGUGCAAACUGCAAGUGAAAGAGGAUGGUCCAGUGAACAGACGACUCCAGACAUCCUGUUCCCUGAUGUUGCCCAUGGAUGCUUCAGUUUCCAGUGGAUUUAAAAAAGUCCUUGAGCAGAUGGCAUAUGACACAGUAACCCAAGUGGUGAAAUCUGACACUCUGAUUCUUUCACUAGGAGAGAGAAUGUUCUCCAAAAAUGGAGAAAAUGUGAGACAAUGGUCAGACAUUGGAAACAAGAUGAGGGAACUCGCAAGACUUCUUGUGGCAGCAAGACAGAUUGAUGAAGACAUUGUCUUUUUGAAGGACUUGAUCAGCCCAGUAAAGUUUAACACAGUACUUGAGAAAGAAAAUGACUGGGUUUGA